rnacentral:rRNA from 1 species
AGCAGCCGCGGUAAUUCCAGCUACAAUAGCGUAUAUUAAAGUUGUUGCAGUUAAAAAGCUCGUAGUUGAAUUUCGGGGUUAGUAGGUUGGUCAUGCCUCUGGUAUGUACUGGUCUCACUGAUUCCUCCUUCCUGAUGAACCUUAAUCCCAUUAAUUUGGUGUUUUGGGGGAAUUUGGACUGUUACUUUGAAAAAAUUAGAGUGUUUAAAGCAAGCUAACGCUUGAAUACAUUAGCAUGGAAUAAUGAAAUAGGACGUUCGAUCCUAUUUUGUUGGUUUCUAGGAUUGACGUAAUGAUUAAUAGGGAUAGUUGGGGGCAUUAGUAUUCAAUUGUCAGAGGUGAAAUUCUUGGAUUUAUUGAAGACUAACUACUGCGAAAGCAUUUGCCAAGGAUGUUUUCAUUAAUCAAGAACGAAAGUUAGGGGAUCGAAGACGAUCAGAUACCGUCGUAGUCUUAACCAUAAACUAUGCCGACUAGGGGAUCGGAUGAUGUUAAUUUUUUAAUGACUCAUUCGGCGCCU